AUGAACGCUAGCUACAGGCUUAACACAUGCAAGUCGAGGGGCAGCAUGUUGGUUGCUUGCAACCAAUGAUGGCGACCGGCGCACGGGUGAGUAACGCGUAUCCAACCUUCCCCUUAGUAGAGGAUAGCCCGGCGAAAGUCGGAUUAAUACUCUAUGUUCUUCAAUGCGGGCAUCUAAGUUGAAGCAAAGAUUUAUCGCUAAGGGAUGGGGAUGCGUCUGAUUAGGUUGCAGGCGGGGUAACGGCCCACCUGGCCUACGAUCAGUAGGGGUUCUGAGAGGAAGGUCCCCCCACACUGGUACUGAGACACGGACCAGACUCCUACGGGAGGCAGCAGUGAGGAAUAUUGGUCAAUGGGCGCGAGCCUGAACCAGCCAAGUAGCGUGCAGGACGAACCUGCCCUAUGGGUUGUAAACUGCUUUUAUCAGGGAAUAAAGUGAGGCACGCGUGCCUUUUUGUAUGUACCUGAUGAAUAAGGACCGGCUAAUUCCGUGCCAGCAGCUGC
rnacentral:rRNA from 1 species